CCUACGGGAGACUGCAGUGAGGAAUAUUGGACAAUGGGCGCUAGCCUGAACCAGCCAAGCAGCGUGAAGGAUGACUGCCUUAUGGGUUGUAAACUUCUUUUAUAUGGGAAUAAAGUGCAGUAUGUAUACUGCUUUGCAUCUACUUUAUCAAUAAGGACCGGCUAACUCCGUGCCAGCAGCCGCGGUAAUACGGAGGGUUCGAGCGUUACCCGGAUUUAGUGGGUGUAAAGGGAGCGUAGGCGGGUUGUUAAGUCAGUUGUGAAAGUUUGCGGCUCAACCGUAGUAGUGCAGUUGAUACUGGCAUCCUUGAGUGCAGUAGAGGUAGGGGGAAUUCGUGGUGUAGCGGUGAAAUGCUUAGAUAUCACGAAGAACACCGAUUGCGAAGGCAGCCUGCUGGACUGUAACUGACGCUGAUGCUCGAAAGUGUGGGUAUCAAACAGGAUUAGAUACCCUUGUAGUC
rnacentral:rRNA from 1 species